CCUACGGGGCGCAGCAGUGAGGAAUAUUGGUCAAUGGACGAGAGUCUGAACCAGCCAAGUAGCGUGAAGGAUGACUGCCCUAUGGGUUGUAAACUUCUUUUAUAUGGGAAUAAAAUGUUCCACGUGUGGGAUUUUGUAUGUACCAUAUGAAUAAGGAUCGGCUAACUCCGUGCCAGCAGCCGCGGUAAUACGGAGGAUCCGAGCGUUAUCCGGAUUUAUUGGGUUUAAAGGGAGCGUCGGUGGAUUGUUAAGUCAGUUGUGAAAGUUUGCGGCUCAACCGUAAAAUUGCAGUUGAAACUGGCAGUCUUGAGUACAGUAGAGGUGGGCGGAAUUCGUGGUGUAGCGGUGAAAUGCUUAGAUAUCACGAAGAACUCCGAUUGCGAAGGCAGUUCACUGGACUGCAACUGACACUGAGGCUCGAAAGUGUGGGUAUCAAACAGGAUUAGAUACCCGUGUAGUC
rnacentral:rRNA from 1 species